rnacentral:sRNA from 1 species
CCCUAGCCCUGAUAGUAGCGGCAUCCUUUUGUUUUUGAUGUUUUUUUGGAACAGCAAAAAGAAAAGAUAUAGCGGAUAGCAGGAUUUGGC